CGCGAAGAACCUUACCUGGUCUUGACAUCCACGGAAGUUUUCAGAGAUGAGAAUGUGCCUUCGGGAACCGUGAGACAGGUGCUGCAUGGCUGUCGUCAGCUCGUGUUGUGAAAUGUUGGGUUAAGUCCCGCAACGAGCGCAACCCUUAUCCUUUGUUGCCAGCGGUCCGGCCGGGAGCUCAAAGGAGACUGCCAGUGAUAAACUGGAGGAAGGCGGGGAUGACGUCAAGUCAUCAUGGCCCUUACGACCAGGGCUACACACGUGCUACAAUGGCGCAUACAAAGAGAAGCGACCUCGCGAGAGCAAGCGGACCUCAUAAAGUGCGUCGUAGUCCGGAUUGGAGUCUGCAACUCGACUCCAUGAAGUCGGAAUCGCUAGUAAUCGUGGAUCAGAAUGCCACGGUGAAUACGUUCCCGGGUCUUGUACACACC
rnacentral:rRNA from 1 species